rnacentral:rRNA from 1 species
GAUGAACGCUGGCGGCGUGCCUAAUACAUGCAAGUCGAGCGAUCGGACGAGAAGCUUGCUUCUCUGAUGUUAGCGGCGGACGGGUGAGUAACACGUGGAUAACCUACCUAUAAGACUGGGAUAACUUCGGGAAACCGGAGCUAAUACCGGAUGAUAUUUUGAACCGCAUGGUUCAAAAGUGAAAGACGGUCUUGCUGUCACUUAUAGAUGGAUCCGCGCUGCAUUAGCUAGUUGGUAAGGUAACGGCUUACCAAGGCAACGAUGCAUAGCCGACCUGAGAGGGUGAUCGGCCACACUGGAACUGAGACACGGUCCAGACUCCUACGGGAGGCAGCAGUAGGGAAUCUUCCGCAAUGGGCGAAAGCCUGACGGAGCAACGCCGCGUGAGUGAUGAAGGUCUUCGGAUCGUAAAACUCUGUUAUUAGGGAAGAACAUAUGUGUAAGUAACUGUGCACAUCUUGACUGUACCUAAUCAGAAAGCCACGGCUAACUACGUG